UUGUUUUGUCAUGAAAUAUAGGUUAAAAUGUUGCACUUAGUCUAUUCUAUAUUUUACCACGUGGAUUUUCGGAAAACCAUAACUUCUUAACCGUAACUCCGAAUUUAGUAAUUCUUGUUCCUACGAUCUCGUAGCGACGCGUAGAUUAUUAUUGCGCAGUUUAUUCUUAUGUUUGUUGUGAUGUUAAUUCUGCCUAUACCAUGUUUGUUUGUAUUGCUACAACUAGCGUGAGGUCACGAGUUCUAAAGAGCAAGUUGGUACCUGGAAUCUCAAGUCCCAGGCAAGUUGUGCCCUUGAUCACUUCCUUUUUACCCAGUCAUGUUCUUAUUAAUCAUAAUGAUCUGCAUAGGUUAAUUUUGUUGGGACCCAAUAGGUUACCCUAGAUUUGACUAUCUUUAUACCUUGUUUCACCACUGGUUUCACUACUAAAUUUUUGGGUAGUACAUGCUAUUGCUUUAUGUGGUUUUGGGUAUAGAGAUAUUCACUACUCAUGAUUACACUUUUUAUUAUCUGUUCAUUAUUUACUGUUCAUGAUAAGAUCAUUAUGUUAAUGGGAACAUGGAGAACCACCCGGGAAAACAGUGCUACCACAAGGGUUUAAUGGAACGCCCUUGGCUGAUUAACUAGGAAAGCUAGUGGAUGACUACCUUACCCGAAAGGGGUAAGGGCAGUAGGGGAGUGGUCAGUGUAGGGAGGUCCUUGGUUGAUUUUGCUGCGAUGGCGGUCAGGUAAGGGAUUCCUGCACUAGAGAUUCCUAUAAACUGUAGCGGGUUUUCUGAAGCUAGUGGAACUUUGUAAAGGCCUCGUAGUGUUACCCUGCCUCGCCUCCUUGGUAGAGGUGUAUGGGAUUGGCCGUCUCUUGGCAGAUGGGUAACAUGACUUGUGGGUAAAGAUGUGCAACCUCUGCAGAGUGUAAAACUGGUAUACUAGCCAUGCUGACGGUCAUGAGCAGCUCGGACACUCACAUGAUUAAUUUAUGAAACUAAAUUUAAUUUGUCAUAUGCAUUGCAUCGCAGGUGAUGUUGUUACUUUUGUUCUACUACUUAAUUGGGUUGGUAUUUACUUAUACUUAGUAACUGCUAAUAAAAUUUUGACCAACUUUAAAAGCAAUGCUCAGCUCUAACCAUCCUCUUUGGUAAGCCUUACACUCCACAUGAGCUCCCACCUUUGGCGAGUUCAUGCACAUUAUUCCCCACAACUUGUUGAGCUAUGAACGUAUGUGAGCUCACUCUUGCUGUCUCAUACCCCCCACAGGUCAAGAACAGGUACCACAGGAUGAAGCGCUUGGAGGAUGCUGUGAUGAGUUCGUGAGUGGUCUAGGCCGUCGUCUCCCAGUCAACUUUGGGUUGCUGUACCGUUGUCUCCUUAUAAUGUAAUUAUUUAUUUAUUUAUUUUGUACAGAACUCCUGUUAUAUAGUAAAGAUG
rnacentral:lncRNA from 1 species